CACUGAAAUGCUCAGCAGACUAAUUUCACAACUAAACCUGAUAACUUGCUUUUCAGAUCCAAUACCUGCUUAGCUUUUUAAAAGUUUGAAAACGAUUUGCCUGACAUUAAUUUUUGUCUCCAGAAACGGCUGUUUUCCUUCACCUUUAAGACCACUGCCAUCAAGGGCCAUCAACCCCUUCUGAGGAGAAUUAACCGCCACGAUUAACAGGAACCAGUUCUUUUAUUUAUGCUCAGUUCCUGGCAUCCAGUCCUCUUCUACCUUGUUCCCUGCUGCAUUGGAAAUCCUAUCAAGACUCUUCCUUCAAAUCUUCUCAUUGUUCCUCUGGUUGCCUUCCUGAUCUAAGCCAUCUGGACUCCUUCAACCAACUUUGCUCAGUCACCCACCUGUCCACCCUCCAUUGUUCCUCCAUUCCAUGAUCUCCAACUCUAGAUGGAAAAUACAAAGGAAACAAUAACCCAGUCGCCAUUUACCACCACCUGUCAACCUCAGACUGGAUAUACUCCCCUCCCCUGGAACCUGAUCACCAACUCCGACAGGCAGACCUAGACCUCCACCGUGAACCUGGAAGAAUUGUCCUGCUGUGCUAAUAAAUCUUUUAAACUAUAAAUCUUUGUGUCCAUAAUUGUUGCCAGCACAAGAGUCUUGCACUUAACGAACAUAAAAAAAAGAUCUUAAAGAGCAACAACAACAAAAAAAGAGUUUUUCAUCAGUCUGGUGAGUUCCUCCAGGCUUUGGGAUUCUGGCAAAAACCAC